rnacentral:rRNA from 1 species
UCUUGGCAAAUUAUCCUCAUWAGUUAGGCGAUAUGRAGRACCAUUGAAUGAAAAAAAUUAGAACUUUUAAUCCUUUUGAUUUCAAAGGGGUCCCCAAAUCGGAGGCCCCGACUGUUUACCUAAAACACAGCUUUCUGCGACGAAUAAUAUUCUGUGUAUAGAAAGUGAAUUUUGCCCAAUGCCAUUAAUAUAAGAUUUAUAAGCGCAUAGCGUAUUUAUGAAUUGAAGUUCUGGUCAAUGGCGGUCUUAUCUAUGAGGAUCCUAAGGUAGCAAAAUUAAUUGUCCAUUAAAUGUGGUCCUGACUGAAUAAAGUAACGAUGGUCUCACUGUCUCUACAAGUAUCUCAGUGAAAUUGAAUUAGCCGUGCAGAUGCGGUUUAACUUCGGGUAGACGGGAAGACCCUAUGCAGCUUCUACUGA